rnacentral:tRNA from 1 species
AGAUCGGUGGUCUAGCGGUCAGAACACUAGCCUUGUAAGCCUGGGGUCCCGGGUUCAAUUCCCGGUGGUGCUC